rnacentral:lncRNA from 1 species
GCGGAUCGAACUCAGAAUAUGACAAAGGCUGCAGCGGAAGAACAAAGCCCCAGGUUUGUGCGGUUUGACCGGUGAAAAAGGCUAGGGUUCGUGGAAGAAGAGGAUUUAAUCGGUAGAAGUUCGAAAUAAUCGGAGGAAAAACUAUUUGAACGGUGAAACGAGAGGUUUCACCGAUUGAAUCGAUGGAAGGGAAGGAUUCGGGGUUUUAGUCGGUAAAAUGGAUCGAAGAUGAGAUUUCAAUCGGUAGAAUGGUGACAAACCUGACGGAAGAGGUUGUUUUGGUCUUGAUUUCGUGAAGAAAAUGAUGUGAGGAGGAUGUGCUCUGGUCGAAGAAGACACACGGUGGCAGACGCUCCUCGAGAGAGAGAUCUAGGGUUUGGAAAUGACGGAAUGAAAUUGAUGUAGGCAGCGAGAUACGAAUAUGUGGAGUCUGACGCAUGCCACGCGUAGGUUUCGUAGUGGAACGAGUGGCGUGAAUAGAUUGGUUUAUGUGGAGGAGAUACGUAGUGUAGGAGAGAAACAGCACAAUGGUAAAGUGAGAAAUGAAAGAAUGAGGUAGUGUGCUGGAAGGUGGCUAGAGGAGGUCCCUUGGACUCUCUUACCUGACUUUCAAGGGAGAAUUGUUUUCUUAUUUAGAAAGCUAAAUUCUCAUUAAGCUCAAAAGUGAUUACAAGAUGUGUUAGCAUGCCUAUAUAUAGGUCACAUGCCUAACACAAUACAAAGUACAUAAAAGAAAAACUAUACUAAAGACAUUGGGCUUUGGGCCCGCGUAUCAUCCCCUCCCUCUUGGAAAGGAUUUGUCCUCAAAUCUG